UAACACAUGCAAGUCGAACGGCAGCACAAGGGAGCUUGCUCCCUGGGUGGCGAGUGGCGGACGGGUGAGGAAUACAUCGGAAUUUACCCUGUCGUGGGGGAUAACCUCGGGAAACCGGGACUAAUACCGCAUACGACCUUCGGGUGAAAGUAGGGGAUCGCAAGACCUUACGCGAUUGGAUGAGCCGAUGUCGGAUUAGCUUGUUGGUGGGGUAAGAGCCCACCAAGGCGACGAUCCGUAGCUGGUUUGAGAGGAUGAUCAGCCACACUGGGACUGAGACACGGCCCAGACUCCUACGGGAGGCAGCAGUGGGGAAUAUUGGACAAUGGGCGCAAGCCUGAUCCAGCCAUACCGCGUGAGUGAAGAAGGCCUUCGGGUUGUAAAGCUCUUUUGUUGGGAAAGAAAUCCUGUCGGUUAAUACCCGGUAGGGAUGACGUACCCAAAGAUAGAACUAC
rnacentral:rRNA from 1 species